GGUUAAGUUAGAAAGGGCGCACGGUGGAUGCCUUGGCACUAGGAGCCGAAGAAGGACGGGACUAACACCGAUAUGCUUUGGGGAGCUGUACGUAAGCGUUGAUCCAGAGAUUUCCGAAU
rnacentral:rRNA from 1 species